rnacentral:rRNA from 1 species
GACGAACGCUGGCGGCGUGCUUAACACAUGCAAGUCGAACGGCAAGGCCCUGCUUUUGUGGGGUGCUCGAGUGGCGAACGGGUGAGUAACACGUGAGUAACCUGCCCUUGACUUUGGGAUAACUUCAGGAAACUGGGGCUAAUACCGGAUAGGAGCUCCUACUGCAUGGUGGGGGUUGGAAAGUUUCGGCGGUUGGGGAUGGACUCGCGGCUUAUCAGCUUGUUGGUGGGGUAGUGGCUUACCAAGGCUUUGACGGGUAGCCGGCCUGAGAGGGUGACCGGCCACAUUGGGACUGAGAGACGGCCCAGACUCCUACGGGAGGCAGCAGUGGGGAAUAUUGCACAAUGGGCGGAAGCCUGAUGCAGCAACGCCGCGUGCGGGAUGACGGCCUUCGGGUUGUAAACCGCUUUCGCCUGUGACGAAGCGUGAGUGACGGUAAUGGGUAAAGAAGCACCGGCUAACUACGUG